AUUGAACGCUGGCGGCAGGCCUAACACAUGCAAGUCGAACGAGUGGCGGACGGGUGAGUAAUGUCUGGGAAACUGCCUGAUGGAGGGGGAUAACUACUGGAAACGGUAGCUAAUACCGCAUACCAUCGGAUGUGCCCAGUUGGGAUUAGCUAGUAGGGGGGUUAACGGCUCACCUAGGCGACGAUCCCUAGCUGGUCUGAGAGGAUGACCGGCCACACUGGAACUGAGACACGGUCCAGACUCCUACGGAGGGCGGCGGUGGGAAAUAUUGCACAGUGGGCGCAGGCCUGAUGCGGCCAUGCCGCGUGUAUGAAGAAGGCCUUCGGGUUGUAAAGUACUUUCAGCGGGGAGGCGUUACCCGCAGAAGAAGCACCGGCUAACUCCGUGCCAGCAGCCGCGGUAAUUC
rnacentral:rRNA from 1 species